UGUAAAUAUACAUAUAUUUUUUUUUACGACCCAAACCGAUGGGCCGCGAUGGGUGUUUGAGUCCUACCUGUCAAAAACCCCUAAGCAUGCGUCUAAGAUAUGAACCUGANNNNNNNNNNNNNNNNNNNNNNNNNGUAUCAUAUCAAAAACAAAGCAGCUCCGGAUCAAGUGGAGCAUGUCAGCUCUCGCUGAUCAGGGAUCCUAAGGAGGGGGAGCAUUAGCUUGCCUACCAGCACCUGCGAGCAUGAAACACAAGCCCCUUGAAAUAUGGGGUCAGUACGAAAAAAUGUACUGAGUUUGUAAGGCAUGAAAAUUAGUAUAUAAAAGACAUAGAUGAAACAUGGAAUACAGAAACACAUCUCUAAAUCUGAAUAACUUUGUAAAUUCUGAAACGUUUAUAAUGUCAUGCACGUGUGUAUAAAUGUCGUGCCAUGCAUAGGUAUGGGUGUACAUAAUAACAUUAAGCCACUGAGGGAAUCCCAUCAUAUAAUCUCGGCCACUGUGGGCAACAUCAUCAACAUAUACCAGCUGAUCAGGUGGUAGUACGUAUAUAACGCCGUAACCUUUUUCCAUAUCCCAUAUACAUAGAUUUACAUAUAUACGCAUAUAUAACGUCAUAUGGUCAUGGGUCAAUGUACAUGAGUGAAAUGCAUGAAAAAUACGUAAUAAUCUCAAUAUUCCUUCUAGAUAAACUUUUCCAACUGCGUAUUAUUCUGAGACCCAUGAACAGAAAUUAGUAAUAAUUUUCAUGUAGAAGCAAGAAUAUAGACACCCCUAAUAAUUCUAUGAAUAGAGUAAUUUUUGGAAAUUGUGUGUUUGUUCGUUUCCUCAAUAGAAUUUGGAUCAUGCCAAAAGAAAAAAGGGAAGACCUUAACGUACCUGGAGUAAGAACAACUCUAUAUAAUUAUCCCGUUAGAAACCUUCGUGGAUUGAACUUUAAAUCCAAAAAUUAAAUUUAAGCUUCUGCGCUUUUGAACUUGAAGAACGAAAUUAGCUUGGAUUUUUGGACAAAUGGAUACUGCUCUAGCGUUUUUGGUUUUGGAAACAAAGACAAAAUGGAUGUAAUCUAAAUUUCAACUUGUUCCAACGUGUUUGUUGGAUUUGGUUGAAGCUUCUGUUUCUAGCUUUCACUUCCUGAAUGUAAUCAACAUUCUUUAAACUUUAAGACUUAUCCUUUGAUCUAAGGUUAAUUCAUUGUUC
rnacentral:lncRNA from 1 species